rnacentral:lncRNA from 1 species
AUGUUUUCCAAACUAGCACAUUUGCGGAGGUUUGCUGUACUUAGUCGUGGAGUUCAUUCUUCAGUGGCUUCUACAUCUGUUGGAACUAAAAAAACAGUCCAAGGCCCUCCAACCUCUAUUUUUGGAAGGGAAUGUAAGUGUGGUGCGCACAAUUACCAUCCUUUACCUGUAGCCCUGGAGAGAGGAAAAUGUAUUUACUUAUGGGAUGUGGUUCUGUUUAUUGUUGAUGAAAUACAGACAGGAGUGGCCAGAACUGGUAGAUGGCUGGCUGUUGAUCAUGAAAAUGUCAGACCUGAUAUAGUCCUCCUUGGAAAGGCCCUUUCUGGGGGCUGAUACUCUGUGUCUGCGGUGCUGUGGAAUGAUAACAUAAUGCUGACCAUUAAGCCAGGGGAACGUGGGUCCACAUACGGUGGCAAUCCACUAGGCUGCCAAGUGGCCAUCGCAGCCCUUGAAGUUUUAGAAGAAGAAAACCUUGCUGAAAAUGCAGAAACAAUGGGUAUUCUCCUGAGAAAUGAACCCAUGAAGCUACCUUCUGAUGUUGUAACUGUUGUAAGAAGAAAAUAAUUAUUAAAUGCUAUUGUUAUUAAAGAAACCAAAGAUUGUGCUGCUUGGAAAGUGUGUGUCUAAGACUUCGAGAUAAUGGACUUCUGGCCAAGCCAACCCAUGGCGACAUCAUCAGGUUUCACCUCUGCUGGUGGUCAAGGAGGAUGAGAUUCCAGGGUCAAUUGUUAUCAUUAACAAGACCAUCUUGUCGUUCUGA